rnacentral:rRNA from 1 species
GACGAACGCUGGCGGCGUGCUUAACACAUGCAAGUCGAGCGGAAAGGCCCUGCUUUUGUGGGGUGCUCGAGUGGCGAACGGGUGAGUAACACGUGAGUAACCUGCCCUUGACUUUGGGAUAACUUCAGGAAACUGGGGCUAAUACCGGAUAGGAGCUCCUGCUGCAUGGUGGGGGUUGGAAAGUUUCGGCGGUUGGGGAUGGACUCGCGGCUUAUCAGCUUGUUGGUGGGGUAGUGGCUUACCAAGGCUUUGACGGGUAGCCGGCCUGAGAGGGUGACCGGCCACAUGGGGACUGAGAUACGGCCCAGACUCCUACGGGAGGCAGCAGUGGGGAAUAUUGCACAAUGGGCGGAAGCCUGAUGCAGCAACGCCGCGUGCGGGAUGACGGCCUUCGGGUUGUAAACCGCUUUCGCCUGUGACGAAGCGUGAGUGACGGUAAUGGGUAAAGAAGCACCGGCUAACUACGUG